UACAGCUAGUCUGACACAGUGCAUGUUCGC
rnacentral:piRNA from 1 species